rnacentral:lncRNA from 10 species
CGCGACCUUGGCUCACUGCAGCCUCCACCUCCCAAGUUCAAGUGAUUCCCCUGCCUCAGCCUCCCUAGGAGCUGGGAUUAUAGGCACCCACCAUCACGCCUGGCUAAUUUUUGUCUUUUUAGUAGAGAUGGAGUUUCACCAUGUUGGCCAGGCUGGUCUUGAACUCUGUGAGUUCAAGUGAUCCACCCGCCUCGGCCUCCCAAAGUGCUGGGAUUACAGGUGUGAGCCAGCCAGAGUUCCGCUUGACUGUGACCUCACAAUAUGUUUUGGUAGUUCUUUCCCCUUUCCCAUUCACUACAGCUUCCUUCCAAGCCAAAGGCCUUCCCUCCCAGCAGCAAAAGCAGUCAGAGGACGAUGUUCCCUAGUCUAAUCUGCUCUUUCCUUCCUUCAUUCAUUCAAUCAAUCAUUCACGCAGCUGGCCAGCAGACACUGGAUGACCACCCCUGGGCCAGGCCUUGUGGCAAAUGCUACAGUAAUGACCAGACACAUCACACCCGCCUUCUAGAAGCCCUCCCUCACAAACCGGAUCAACUGCUAUGAUAAAGAAGAACCCACCCAGGUAAUCACUGCUUGCUCGGAUCCCAGCAAAUUCUAGAUCCCAGAACUAGUGCUCUUAGAGCCAAGGCCAGCCGAUCCAAGUCUGGACUACUGCUCAGAUGAGCCGAGCCUGAAUUUGGGAGUGGUUGUUACAGAGCAUUACCCUGGCAAUAACUGACUGAUGCAGAGAUGUAAAUAGACAUCACUGGUGGAGCCCCCAGGAAAGCUCUUUAACAGAAGACAGACUCAGCUGGCAGGUUUCCCGUCUCCUUGAAUGAAGACAGGCUCAAUGCUUGGAGGGGUGAGAGGAGGCAGCCAUCUUACAACCACAGGUCACAGGAAGACACUAAACAAGGCCGUGUGGAAAGACAGAAGGAGCCUCCAUCCCUCAGCACCACAGAGACAUUGUAUCAGCCUAGAAAUGCCUAAAUCUGAACUUCCUCUUACCUAAGAAAAAUAAAACCUCAAUUUGAUUCAAUCACUGUUUUACAGGUUUCUGCUACUUCUGAUAUAAUUCCUGAUAGAUAGCCAGGCACAGUGGCUCACCUUAUAAUCCCAGCACUUUGGGAGGCUGAGGCAGUCAGAUUACCUUAGGUCAUUAUUUCGAGACCAGCCUGGACAACAUGUUGAAACCUUGUCUCUAUUAAAAAUACAAAAGUUAGCUGGGCAUGGUGGCAGGAGCCUGUAAUCCCAGCUGCUCAGGAGACUGAGGCACGAGAAUCACUUGAACCCGGGAGGCGGAGGUUGCAGUGAGCCGAGAUCACAUCACUGCACUCCAGCCUGGGUGACAGAGUGAGACUCUGUCUCAAAAAAAAAAAAAAAAAAAUUCCUGAUAGACACAGCUAACUAUUGGUAUUAACGCCACAACUGGCCAGGCAUGGUGGCUUACACCUGUAAUCCCAGCACUUUGGGAGCCCAAGGUGGGCAGAUCACCUGGAGUCAGGAGUUCAAGACCAGCCUGGCCAAAAUGAUGAAACCCUGUCUCUACUAAAAAUAUAAAAAAUAAAAAAUAGCCAGGUGUAGUGAUGGGCACCUGUAAUCCCAGCUACUCAGGAGGCUGAGGCAGGAGAAUCACUUGAACCUACGAGUCGGAGGUUGCAGUGAGCCAAGAUCACCCCAUUGCACUCCAGCCUGGGUGACAAGAGUGAAACUCCAUCUCAAAAAAUAAUAAUAAAAUAAAGCCACACCCGUGUUUGAGAUCCCCCAGGAAAAGCAUGAAGGGUCACAAGCAGGUCUCAUGGAAUCCUGGGGAAUGUGACUUAAGAAUGCUGGAGAAGAAGCCCAGAGAAGUGAUUGAGAAGCAGGGAGAGUAGAUGGAGAACCCAGAUGUGUGGUGGCCACAGGCCACAAGAGGAGAGUAUCUCAACAAGAGACAGGGACAGACCAGGCCAAAUGCAGCAGUGAGAUUCAGGCACAUGAGGAAGAAAACUUUUCAAAGGAUUUAGUAAAUGAGAGGUCCCUGACCUUGGCAGGAAAGGUUUAGUUCAGGGCUGGGGACAGAAGCCAAACCACACAGCCCUUUGCAGAAUCCCAGCCCUCUGCAGCUCCCUCCGUGGGGGAUGGACGCUUGAGGAAGGAUGAUGCAAUGGGAGGAAACCACUGCUUGGCCAGCUGCAACCUUGUCCUCACUGCACAGACCAUUUCUCCUCUUUGCCUCCAAGAUGAAAUCUAAACUCAGCUUGGCAUCCAACCCUUGAAGAUGUGGACCCAGCCAGGCUGUGGCCUCCCCUGCCCAGCCUCCCUUCUCCAUAUUGUAGGAUCCCCCCUCCCCCCAUUCCUGGCCUCCAUGUCCACCCUUGGACUGCCCUCCCCUGCUCCACAGACUAUCUGGAGCCUACUCAGCCUUCUGAGGUGGCACAAAUGUCACCCCCUCUAAUGAAGACAAGGUCACUCCUUUAUCUGGGCUCCUUGCACCUCUCUGUAUCUGCCUUGAAUUAUAUUGGCCAGAUUCAAGUGGGAUUUGCUCCCCAGGGUGGGGACAGUGUCUGUGUUUUCCGUUCCCCACAGGGCAGAGCACACCGGUCUGGCAUGAGCAGGAGCCAGUAGCCUUGUUGGGUGGCUAUGGUGUGCCCUGCAAGAGUUUCCCAGGCCAGGGAUACCAAGUGGGCAUCUUCAGGGCCAUGUCUAUCUCCUUCCACUCCUACAGACCUGGCUUUAGAGAGCUCAGGAAGGAAGCAGAACAAUCAACAGAGACACGUGAGGGCUUUCUUCUUCCCCUCUCCUCUCUGGAGGCUUCCCAGAGGGCAGCUGCUUCCUUUCUCUCUUGUUUUAGAACAAGAAGACAUGAUUGUGACCAAAUUUAGAAAACAACCAAAAAUUCAAAUUCAACCCAUAUUUUAAAAUCCAUUUCAACAGCUCCACCCCACUAAAAGGAAUGUCACUUCUGAGCAACGUGGGUGAGGAAUCAGCAGCCGAAGUAGCAGCAAGGUGGGCUGUGGUGUCAUGGAUUUGGGGUCUGAGGGCUGGGGAGGGAAGAGGUCUUCCCACCAAGGACAGACAAACCCACCCCACCCGCAAAUGGGAGGGAUGAUGAGGGAGAGCAGAGCCAGGCAUGAGAGCAGAUGGGCCCACAUUCAAGGAAGUAUCUUCUUGGCUUCUUGUUUCUGCCAAUAGCUGGAAAGGAUGGAUGCUUCUGGAAGCCACCUCAGAGACCAACCACAGCGGAUGGGCCCUCCUUAGCACAGAGCUACUUUUAGCCCAUUGUUCUACUGUGGGGAACAGAGGGAAACCCAGGGAACGAAACAAACAGUGUCACCUGCCUUCUGUAGUAAUAGUAACCAGGUAUGGGAUGUGUCGUGUGUGCCAGGUGCUAUAGCUAGGAGGCUUUUUAAAAAUAUUGUUUCCAGGAAUUCUACAUGAGUCAUGUUGCCUCAGAGAUUUUUAUGAGGGAAAAAAAGGUCUUUAUGAGCCAGAAUGAAAGAGAUUAAUUUGUCAGGAACAAAUGUAAAAGUUUGCUUUGCAAGCAUGGCAUUCAAGGGGCAGUUCUGAUAAAGCAUCAGGAAUGCUGCUGUGUCCUCUGGCCACCAUAAUAGAGAUAAAGGGUCCAGAAUAAAGGAGGCUCUCAUCUCACUGAACUUGGUUCCCG